GCCGGGCGCGGUGGCGCGUGCCUGUGGUCCCAGCUACUCGGGAGGCUGAGGCUGGAGGAUCGCUUGAGUCCAGGAGUUCUGGGCUGUAGUGCGCUAUGCCGAUCGGGUGUCCGCACUAAGUUCGGCAUCAAUAUGGUGACCUCCCGGGAGCGGGGGACCACCAGGUUGCCUAAGGAGGGGUGAACCGGCCCAGGUCGGAAACGGAGCAGGUCAAAACUCCCGUGCUGAUCAGUAGAAGUCUGUAAUGCUACUGGUGUCCCCUAAUUUUCUUAUAGCCACAGUUCCUUU
rnacentral:SRP_RNA from 10 species